GUGGGGAAUUUUGGACAAUGUGGGCAACCCUGAUCCAGCCAUGCCGCGUGCGGGAAGAAGGCCUUCGGGCUGUAAACCGCUUUUGUCAGGGAAGAAAUCCUUUGGGUUAAUACCUCGGAGGGAUGACGGUACCUGAAGAAUAAGCACCGGCUAACUACGUGCCAGCAGCCGCGGUAAUACGUAGGGUGCGAGCGUUAAUCGGAAUUACUGGGCGUAAAGCGUGCGCAGGCGGUUUUGUAAGAUCGAUGUGAAAUCCCCGGGCUCAACCUGGGAACUGCAUUGGUGACUGCAAGGCUGGAGUGCGGCAGAGGGGGAUGGAAUUCCGCGUGUAGCAGUGAAAUGCGUAGAUAUGCGGAGGAACACCGAUGGCGAAGGCAAUCCCCUGGGCCUGCACUGACGCUCAUGCACGAAAGCGUGGGGAGCAAACAGGAUUAGAAACCCCUGUAGUCC
rnacentral:rRNA from 1 species